UACGUAGGGUGCGAGCGUUGUCCGGAAUUACUGGGCGUAAAGAGCUCGUAGGUGGUUUGUCGCGUUGUUCGUGAAAACUCACAGCUCAACUGUGGGCGUGCGGGCGAUACGGGCAGACUGGAGUACUGCAGGGGAGACUGGAAUUCCUGGUGUAGCGGUGGAAGUGCGCAGAUAUCAGGAGGAACACCGGUGGCGAAGGCGGGUCUCUGGGCAGUAACUGACGCUGGAGGAGCGAAAGCGUGGGGAGCGAACAGG
rnacentral:rRNA from 1 species